GAUGAACGCUAGCUACAGGCUUAACACAUGCAAGUCGAGGGGCAGCAUGAACUUAGCUUGCUAAGUUUGAUGGCGACCGGCGCACGGGUGAGUAACACGUAUCCAACCUUCCGUUUACUCAGGGAUAGCCUUUCGAAAGAAAGAUUAAUACCUGAUAGUAUGGUGAGAUUGCAUGAUAGCACCAUUAAAGAUUUAUUGGUAAACGAUGGGGAUGCGUUCCAUUAGGUAGUAGGCGGGGUAACGGCCCACCUAGCCGACGAUGGAUAGGGGUUCUGAGAGGAAGGUCCCCCACAUUGGAACUGAGACACGGUCCAAACUCCUACGGGAGGCAGCAGUGAGGAAUAUUGGUCAAAUGGGCGAGAGCCUGAACCAGCCAAGUAGCGUGAAGGAUGAAGGUCCUACGGAUUGUAAAACUUCUUUUAUACGGGAAUAAAGUAUCCUACGUGUAGGAUUUUGUAUGUACCGUAUGAAUAAGGAUCGGCUAACUCCGUGCCAGCAGCCGCGGU
rnacentral:rRNA from 1 species